rnacentral:lncRNA from 1 species
CACAGAGGGAACCUCUUACUGCGCAGUACACAAGGCAACCCUCUCAAAACACUGGUGUCUUCAGUAAGGAGGGAACCCUUGCCAUGAAAGCGGUAAAUGCACUUGAGAUUGACACGCUGUUUUCAGAUAUCGCCGAAACUUUCAACAAGCAAUACAGGGAUCACUGUGCCAUGGAGGAAGCUAUCCGAAGGCUGAAAGAGGCUUCUGGCUGUGCUCCCACUAGCAGCCUGACAGACUGUAUAGACAAUAUAAAGCGGGAACAUGGUGCCUGCAGUUUGCAGGUGCACAUGGACGGCUAUAGCUUUUCACUCAUUGUAAAGGAGAAAGAAGUGCCUGCAGACUUGGAGCAGGCCCAACGGCAGGUGUGGGAACUGAAUCGUGCCACAAAGCAUGUCAUUGCUACAGAAACAAAACUCCAGGAAAUGAUCUGUUCAGUGCUUCAGAGCCAGAGUCAGCUGGCAGAGAGAAUGAAAGCCACAAACCCAGAGUACCUGGACCAGGUACGGCUAGACGCUAACCUGAGAGAGAAUAUCCAAACCGUGAGCCAGGCCAAAGAGCUCUCCAAGCAGUAUGGCAAAGAUGCCAGCAGCGUGCUGAAAGAAAUGGCUCACCUAGCUGGUAUGAUCCUGUAAAAGGUUCAAAAAGUAAGGAUCCAGCUGGUAUUUAUACCUUCCCCUUUGUACCUAAAAUCUACAGAGUGCCGAAGAGCACACCUUGGUACAGCCGUGAUUAUCUGGGCAAUUAGCACACGUAUAGGUAGUUGUACUAGGUCUGGUUUAUUUAGCCAAGGAACCUGAAUCAGGAGAGUAGGAUUUCUUCUCAAGGGGCUGAAGUGAUGGACAAAAAGUAUGUCCUCCUUUUCAUCUGCCAAGCACUCAAGCCCCCUUGCAGGGUUUCAGCCCACCAACACCUCCAGUGCUACUUCAAUAUCUGCAGAACCAGAGAAGUACAAAGUAAUGAGAGUUAGGCCUGAAUAUAGCCCAGAGACCAUAUGUAGCUUAUCUAAAGCCACCUAAAU